rnacentral:rRNA from 1 species
GACGAACGCUGGCGGCGUGCUUAACACAUGCAAGUCGAGCGGUAAGGCUCCUUCGGGAGUACACGAGCGGCGAACGGGUGAGUAACACGUGAGCAAUCUGCCCUUCACAUCGGGAUAAGCACCGGAAACGGUGUCUAAUACCGAAUACGACCACUUCCGGCAUCGGAUGGUGGUGGAAAGUUCCGGCGGUGGAGGAUGAGCUCGCGGCCUAUCAGCUUGUUGGUGAGGUAAUGGCUCACCAAGGCUUCGACGGGUAGCCGGCCUGAGAGGGUGACCGGCCACACUGGGACUGAGACACGGCCCAGGCUCCUACGGGAGGCAGCAGUGGGGAAUAUUGGACAAUGGGCGAAAGCCUGAUCCAGCAACGCCGCGUGAGGGAUGACUGCCUUCGGGUUGUAAACCUCUUUCAGCGGGGACGAAGCGAAAGUGACGGUACCCGCAGAAUAAGGACCGGCUAACUACGUGCCAGCCGCCGCCGUAAGAC